rnacentral:rRNA from 1 species
GAAGAACCUUACCAGGACUUGACAUCCCUCGAAUAUCUAAGAAAUUAGGUAGUGCCUUCGGGAGCGAGGAGACAGGUGGUGCAUGGCUGUCGUCAGCUCGUGUCGUGAGAUGUUGGGUUAAGUCCCGCAACGAGCGCAACCCACGUCUUUAGUUGCCAUCAUUCAGUUGGGCACUCUGGAGAGACUGCCGGGGACAACUCGGAGGAAGGUGUGGACGACGUCAAGUCAUCAUGCCCCUUACGUUCUGGGCUACACACGUACUACAAUGCAACGGACAAAGGGCAGCCAGCUAGCGAUAGUGAGCUAAUCCCAUAAACCGUUGCUCAGUUCAGAUUGCAGGCUGCAACUCGCCUGCAUGAAGGAGGAAUCGCUAGUAAUCGCAGGUCAGCAUACUGCGGUGAAUACGUU